GAAAAAAUGAACCAAGCAGAAGCAUUUGCUCUGCAGAUUUAUGCUCUACCACACAUGUGGAAUUUAGUAGUUCAUUGAGAUUAAGCUUAGACUUAGGAAUCAACAAUUGGGUGAAACAAGACCAUAUGUGAUGUUAAUUUUACGUAUCAACUUGAUUGGACCAUCAGGUGCCCCAAACAGGUAUUUGGUUAAACAUAUUUCUGAGUGAAUCUGUGAGGGUGUUUCUGGAUGACAGCAGCAUUUGAGCUGGUAGGCUGAGUGAAGAAGUUUGCCUUCCCCCCUGUGGCAAUCACACCAUCAGCUAAUGGCCUCAACAGAAAGAACAAAGUGGUGGAGGAAGGAGAACUCAUUUUCUCUGCCAGCUGGCCCGAGCCGGGGCACUGGUCGGCCCCCGCCCUCAGACUGGAAGUUCACCGUUAGCUGUCCUGUUCUCAGGCCUUUGAACUGGAACUGGAACUCUUCUGGCUCACAGGCCCACCGCUGACUCUCCUGGGUCUGCAGCUUACAGAUUACAGUUGGAAAAUGGAGAGAUCUCUGCGGAGACAACAUCUGAUCUCAUGGAGGACUGGGCAAAACGAGUCAUCCAGGUGGAGUCCCAGGGGAAUAGGACUUCAGGCAGAGGGAACAGCAAGAGGAGGGCUCUGGAGGAGUAAGUGGCUUCCCUCACAGGGAGAUGGAAAGGGGCCAUGUGAGGGUACCUUCGCCGUGUUAGAUGAAUGUAUUGCCUUAGGAAGGUCCGAGAUAAAAGGUGGCAUAAGCAUGUUUGUAGCUCAGGCGAGUGAGUGGGGGAAGGAAGCGGGGCACUGCCUCACCAGGUGGGUCCCUCAAGAAGGCAGGCUGCACCUGCCUGGGUCCAUCCCAGGUCAGCCCCCAACAGGCUGGGCCGACAGAGAAAAAUGGUGAUUUGGGCCUGGAUUGUCAAUGAGGCCCUCACCGAGCAAAAUAAAUGCUAAAUGAUCUCAGAAGGCCCAACAGGGGCAGUGCAGUGAGUGUCCGGGACAGAGGGGAUGGUGGGUGGGGUGGGAGCCUGGGGCAGAGGGACUCCUCUGAAGUUAAAUUGAAGCCACUGACCCACCCUUCAAAUGAUCAUAGGCCAUGGUCUUCUCUGAUCACGACUCAUCCCUGGAAGAAAACUGAGAAACUGGAGAGGGGAGAGAAGGGAGAGCGUGUAUCACAAAUUCUGAGUUAUCAAAGGGGCUCUGCUUCCCCUGAGGCCAUGGACACUGUAUUCACUGUGGGGCAGACACACCACACUCCUGUCUUCAGCCACCUCUUCUACCAUCCACACCCAGGAAACGCUGAAGCCCUUCCUAGAGUCUCUCCAACCCACGAAACUGAAACCGCAUGGGACGUCCAAAGGCCCUAUCCGCCAGGGCGGCUCCCUCCCCAGCACGGCGGCUGGGCCUCCUGAGAACCAUGCAUCCUCGUUCUUCUGCUGGUCCUCACAGAUCUCCAGAGAGAAGCUCAUUGUAGAAUAGCAUUUGCCUUGAAUGCUCUGACAAUUUUCUGCUAACCUACUUGUGACUGGUUAAAGCCAGGAGUCUGGUGCUGGCCUCGCUUCGGUACUUGGAAAACUGGGGACAUCGUAAUCAGCAGAGAAGUCAUUGGAAAUACAGACUUGCCAGUCCCACCACAGAAGACGAUGAUUUAGUGGGUUCUGCUGGCCCAGCUGUCCGCACUUACAGAAGCAUUCUUGGGGAUUCCAAGAUGCUGCUGCGGGGCACAUUUGCCAAGCCCUGCGCCAGGAGCCCUGAAGCUCUCUUCCUGCGGUGGUGACCUGCCAGCCAGCUGUCUUUAGUGGUGGGGAAUGCUACUGAGCAUGUGCAUCACCAAAUGACAGCUCACCCUUGACUCUUAAGAUGGAAGGGAACUUAGAGGUGCUGUAGUCCAAAUCUCUCAUUUUUCAGAUGGGUCAGACAUGGCCUAGAGGGAAAAUGUGGCUUGCCCAAGGUCAUACAUCACAUAGCAAAAAUUCUGGAACAAGGAGCAGUAUUUUUUUUUUUUUUAAUCUCUCAGUGAUCCGGAAGACUCUGCAUGUCAAACGCCCAUUUCUGUUCCCAGCAUUGGGUAACCCCUUAAUUCCUGGUCACCUCCACCCCUCCUCAAUGCCCAGACUUUCCAUCACAUGGAAACCCACUAGGCUUUCGAUCUCACACGCUAUUUCAGUAGGUCCCCCCUUGCGCUGACCUCAGUUCCAGCAGUGUGAGGCAGGGCUGCCUUCCCUUAGCUGACAGAGGAGGCUGCAGUGCGUGUGUGGGUUGGAAGGGGGGCUCCAGGAAGGGCCUCAGUGCUUCUGGGUGUGGAAGAUAAAAUACGCAGCGGGAUGGCAGGAGCGUGGUGUGUCUGCCCCACAGUGCACACAGCAUCCAUGGCUUUAGGGGAAGCAGAGACCCUUUUGAUAGCUUAGAAUUCAUGUUCCACAUGCUGCCUCCGCUCCCCAAUUCCGUUCCUCAGUUUUCUUACAGAGAUGGAGUCCUGAUCAGAGAAGACCAUGGCUUGAAGUCAUUUCAGGAGUAGGGCAGUGGCAUUAAUUUAACUUCAGAGGAGUCCCUCUGCCGCGGGCUCCUGCCCCACCUCCAUCCUGAACACUCACUGCCUUGUCCUUCCCGGGGCUUCUGAGCUAUUUAGUACAUGUCUUCCUCAGGGCAGAUUUCACUGACAGCCCAGCCUCUCAGGGCCUCAUGCCCCUUCCUAGACCUGGGAGGUGCGGUGAGGGGCUCCUGCCUGGCGUCUAGCCCAAGUCCCAUUCCUGGAGCCUCUGCCAGUGGCCUCCAGGGCUGCUUUUGGCCCAAGGAGCUGGAGAACAGUGAGUUCCCCUUCCCCAUCUCUGUCUUAAUGAAUAUUUAAUCCUGGAUAUGCUCCAGAACCCAAGUGCGUUCUCCCUGCAACCCCUGCUCCCCAGUCCUGAAGAAUCAGGCUCUGCCCACUUUGCACCACCAGAAUCCCCUGGGGGCUCACAGCUCUUGCCCUCUUCGCUGUUGAGUGCGUCAGCAUUCCAGCUCCUCCCUGGGCUGCUGGGAGGACAGAUUGCUUCAUAAAUUCUUAAGAAUGUGUUUGGAGCUAACAGCUUAA